GCCGUAGUUCAGCGGCAGAACCCCUGCUCUGCAUGCAGAAGGAAGUCCCAGGUUGUGUGCCAGCUUCAGUCCCUGGCAUAUGCA